CGNAUUGNGUACCNUGCGGAAGGAUCAUUAAAGAAAUUUAAUAAUUUUGAAAAUGGAUUUUUUUGUUUUGGCAAGAGCAUGAGAGCUUUUACUGGGCAAGAAGAACAAGAGAUGGAGAGUCCAGCCGGGCCUGCGCUUAAGUGCGCGGUCUUGCUAGGGC
rnacentral:misc_RNA from 1 species